rnacentral:rRNA from 1 species
AUUCCAGCUCUGUAAGCGUAUACCAAAGUUGUUGCAGUUAAAACGCUCGUAGUCGAACCUUGGCGUGAGUUACGGAGGCUCCUAAUGGACGUUGAAGUAACUCCGCCUUUGUGGAGGGGGGUGUGGUGUUACUUAAUUGUAUUGCCGCAUUUCCGCCACUGUUUACUGUGAAAAAAUUAGAGUGUUCAAAGCGAGCGUUUGCCAUGAAUACAUUAGCAUGGAAUAAUAGAAUAGGACCUGGUCCUGUUUUAUUGGUUUGUCUGUAUCAGGUAAUGAUUAACAGGGACGGUCGGGGGCAUUUGUAUUCCAGCGUUAGAGGUGAAAUUCUUGGAUCGCUGGAAGACAAACAGCUGCGAAAGCGUCUGCCAAGGACGUUUUCAUUG